CUGACCUACUGAGUAAGACUUCUCCAACCUUCCAGCCCAGCUGCCAGCUAAAUGCAACUGAGUAAACACCCCCACCCACACCCUCACGCUUCUCUUGAUACAGGUCUCCUUCAUUGGCAGGUGACUUCUUUACCACUAGCGCCACGUGGGAAGCCCCGCUGUAUAAGGUCAGCCUGUCUCCAGAAGCCACACUGAACGUUCCCUCCGAUGCACAAACAACAAAAUCGAGAACCAAGACACCACCUCCCUGCAGACAGAGCCCCUCCCGGCUGCCUUAGGCACCAUCUGGGGCCACGAGGUCCCCCUCUGGGGCAUGGAGGCAUUUUGGAGGGGAGAGGGAGGCCGGGACUGGAUGCCAGCAGGAGAAGAGAGCCCCCUCCGCCUGAGGGACACGGACCACUCCACCUCCUCAGGGGAGGACACAGGGAGGAACCUGACCCAGACCACCCAGACUGCAUCCGACACCGUGGCUUCCACAUCCCAGGACCCCCAGGCAGGAGGACAGCAGCUCUCCGAUGCCAGCAAUACUGCCUGCUGGGGAAGGCCAACCUGUUCUCUGCAGUCCUGAGAGGGCAAGACUGGACACAACCUCUGUGCCCAUCCUUCGGGGAGUGGGCCUCCGCCUGCAGGAGCAUGCGCACAAGAGAACACUCAGCAGCCACGAGACAGAGCGGGGUUGCCACACAUAUAAACCUGGAAGUGACAGUCACUCAGGGGAUCUUCCCAACCCAGGGAUCGAACUCGAGUCUCCUGCUUGGCAGGCAGAUUCUUUACCAUCGGAGCCACCAAGGAAGCCCAUAGACCUGGAAAGGAGAUCGUCAUGUGUAAAGGAAAAUAAAGCGCUAAACAGGAUGUAUGGUACUGCUUGGCUUUUAUCAAAAGUAUUGAUAUGUGCUUCCAUUGACAGAAAAACCUGGAAGUCUUCGUGGUCAAUUCUG
ensembl:lncRNA